rnacentral:tRNA from 1 species
AGGAACUUAAGUUAAUUUUAGACUAGGAGCCUUCAAAGCUCCAAGUGAGGGUGAAAAUCUCUCAGCUCCUG